rnacentral:lncRNA from 1 species
AUGAGUCACAUCUCCUCUGCCCACAGCCUCCCCAUGGAAAUGCUUCCAGCUGGGGGGGGUCCGUGCUUAUCUGGGGUUCAGCCAGGGUCCGAGCAGUUCCACCUUCUACUGAUGUUUGUGGGGCUGAGAGUGCCACAGCCCUGGCACAGUCCCCCUGAAGCACCCCAGCCCCCUUCCAGGCUGGCAGUUUGGGUUUGCCAGGGAGGUGUUGGGAACACAACUGCUGAAGCACCCCAGCCCCCUUCCAGGCUGGCAGUAUGGGUUUGCCAGGGAGGUGUUGGGGACACAACUGGCCUUUCCUUGGCCAGUCUGUGCUGCCACUCUCAGGAGCCCGGGGCUCAGGGCAGCGACUGGAGCUUAGCUCAGGCUGCCUUAUCUUGUUCAUUCAACCGUGUUCUGUCAGCUGAGACACCAAACUCCCCGGCUGCUGCUGUGUCUGGGGCUCAAGAAGUCCCUGCCGAAGCACCAGCACAGCUCCAGACCAGCAGCACCGGCAUUGGUAUGUGCAGCGUCACUGUGCCACAUCUGCAGUGUCACUGUGCCAUAUCCCAGAUGAGCAGGGUGCAGUGUCACUGUGCCAUAUCCCAAAUGAGCAGGGAGCAGUGUCACUCUGCCACAUCUGCAGUGUCACUGUGCCAUAUCCCAGAUGAGCAGGGAGCAGUGUCACUGUGGCACAUCCCAGAUGAGCAGGGAGCAUUGUCAGUGUGACAUAUCCCAGAUGAGCAGGGUGCCUGGUUUAUCCGCACCUGGGUAAUCUGUAAUAGCAGGUGAACCCUUAGGAACAGGCGGCCACAAGCACACACUUUUUAUCACAGAUCACAUUCUUCUCUCCUGUAACAGAAGACUGAGAAGCUCAGAUCGCUACCCAAGUCUGCACGGUUACAUUUUGAUACGAUUCUCUGAGAAACCCCCGUUCCCCUCUCCCUGCUCCCGCCGCUCCCCAUCUCCCCGUGCCCUCUCCCUGCUCCCGCCGCUCCCCAUCUCCCCGUGCCCUCUCCCUGCUCCCGCCGCUCCCCAUCUCCCCGUGCCCUCUCCCUGCUCCCGCCGCUCCCCAUCUCCCCGUGCCCUCUCCCUGCUC